ensembl:lncRNA
GGCCCCAAACACACCAACACCGGUUUACUUGCAGCGGGAGCUGAGAAAUACCUGUGAACUGAAUUCCAAACAGCUGGAGUCCGGGCCAGCGAUCAGCCUGUUGGGGGGACUUUAGGCCCGUUCCCUUUCCCUGACAAGAAGCCCAGUCCUCUUCUCUGCCUAGGGCCCAGAUGCAGGGCUCCUACCUGAGACGGGAGCCGCCUAGCUGCAGGCUGAAAAGAGAAAGAAAGUCAAAGUCGCUCGGUCCCUUCCGACUCUUUGCCACCCCAUGGACUAUACAGUCCAUGGAUUCCCCAGACCAGAAUACUGACUGGGCAGCUGUUCCCUUCUCCAGAGGAUCUUCCCAACCCAGGGAUCGAACCUAGGUCUCUCUCAUUGCAGGCGGAUUCUUUACCAGCUGAGCCACAAGGGAAAACCCAGUGGCAGGCACAAGGGCCUCCAUUACUCCGCCCCUGCAACCCGAUGUGGGAGCGAGCCCUCUGUCUUUGGUUGCCCCUCCAUGGUUCCACUUUGUACUUCUAUGACCCAGCACUGCCUGGUCAAGUAUUGCUUGUUUUAUGCUUUGGUUUUUUGGCCAUGAAGCACAUGGGAUCCCGGGUCCCCGCACCUGGGAUUGAGCCUGCACCCCUGCAUGGGAAGGUGAAGCCUUAACCACUGGACUGCCAUGAAAGUCCCCUUCCUGUUUCUUUUUACCUGGGGUCCUGCCCCAAGCAUCACCAAAGUGAAAACAAAGGGACAAAGACAACAGAAUAGACAACAGUGACUACUUAGGAGUCAAAAAUCAGAUGGGGAAGGGGGCAUGGACUUCACUGGCCAGAUAAAGUUGAAUCCAACAUUGCACUGGAUUGGAUGGUGCAACCU